UGUUGUUUGAAUUAUCAAGUUUGAAAACCACAAUUCGUUGUUGAAGAGGGAUAUAAUGGUUUUGCAUUUUGUGGUUUUUGUAGUUUGUAGAUAGAUAUGAAGCAGUCACGAGAGGAAGGUUUCAUGACUUAUUUUUCUCAACUUAAAUGACCUAUGUUAUCUUCUAGAGGAGAAUGGGUGUUAGUAUGGUUGCAGGUUAAUGAGGAAAUAGAGGAGUUUGGGAUGAAAAGUUUGAUUGAAGUGGCAGCUAAUUUGGUUGAUUUGGAAAAGAUUGUUAAGGAAACUCACAGUUAUGUUGUACAAUAACCUAAGUAAAAUCAUUAGUUGUCAAUUUAUUAAACAUCUAUAAUAACCUAAGUAAUUUGUCUUUUUAUAAUGCAUAUUUAUCUUCC